UGUCGGGUAAGUUCCGACCCGCACGAAAGGCGUAACGAUUUGGGCACUGUCUCAACAACAGACUCGGUGAAAUUGUAAUUCCGGUGAAGAUGCCGGAUACCUGCGACAGGACGGAAAGACCCCAUGGUGCUUUACUGUAGCUUGACAUUGGGUUUUGGUACUACAUGUACAGGAUAGGUGGGAGGCUUUGAAACCAGGACGCCAGUUUUGGCGGAGCCAUCCUUGGGAUACCACCCUUGUAGUACUGGGACUCUAACCAUAGGCCAUGAAUCUGGUCUUGG
rnacentral:rRNA from 1 species